rnacentral:lncRNA from 1 species
UUGUUUAGAGUUAGGUUAGAGCUAUAACAGCAGGCAAGCUUGGACAAGAAACUAUACAAACAAAAUGGAAUAACGGAAGCUUAUCUAUUAGUAAAAGUGGAACCGCCUAAAAAUAAUUUGUAGAAUGUCCUUUAAUGAUGCAAUUUGUUUUGUUACUAAAAGUAAGCUAAUACUAACAGAAGGUCUUAUACCAAAUGCUCUAUUG